UGGCCAGACUCCUACGGGAGGCAGCAGUGGGGAAUAUUGCACAAUGGGGGAAACCCUGAUGCAGCGACGCCGCGUGAGCGAUGAAGUAUUUCGGUAUGUAAAGCUCUAUCAGCAGGGAAGAAAAUGACGGUACCUGACUAAGAAGCCCCGGCUAACUACGUGCCAGCAGCCGCGGUAAUACGUAGGGGGCAAGCGUUAUCCGGAUUUACUGGGUGUAAAGGGAGCGUAGACGGCAUGGCAAGCCAGAUGUGAAAUGCCGGGGCUCAACCCCGGGACUGCAUUUGGAACUGUUAAGCUGGAGUGUCGGAGAGGCAGGCGGAAUUCCUAGUGUAGCGGUGAAAUGCGUAGAUAUUAGGAGGAACACCAGUGGCGAAGGCGGCCUGCUGGACGAUAACUGACGUUGAGGCUCGAAAGCGUGGGGAGCAAACAGGAUGAGAUACCCGCGUA
rnacentral:rRNA from 1 species